rnacentral:rRNA from 1 species
AAGCGCGGAGGAAAAUAAACCAACAGGGAUUGCCUCAGUAACGGCGAGUGAAGCGGCAAAAGCUCAAAUUUGAAACCUAGCACCUUCGGUGUUCGAGUUGUAAUUUGAAGAUGGUAACCUUGGGUUUGGCUCUUGUCUAUGUUCCUUGGAACAGGACGUCAUAGAGGGUGAGAAUCCCGUCUGAUGAGAUGCCCAUUCCUAUGUAAGGUGCUAUCGAAGAGUCGAGUUGUU